UACAGAGGGUGCGAGCGUUAAUCGGAAUUACUGGGCGUAAAGCGCACGUAGGUGGCGACGUAAGUCGGGUGUGAAAGCCCCGGGCUCAACCUGGGAAUUGCAUUCGAGACUGCAUUGCUGGAGUACGGAAGAGGAGGGCGGAAUUCCCGGUGUAGCGGUGAAAUGCGUAGAUAUCGGGAGGAACAUCAGUGGCGAAGGCGGCCCUCUGAUCCAGUACUGACACUCAAGUGCGAAAGCGUGGGGAGCAAACAGG
rnacentral:rRNA from 1 species